UACUGCACCGCCCCGACGGGGUGAGGGGUGUGGUGGUUAGGUGGUACGUAGAGUGCAAGGGUGGGGUGCUCGUGUGGAGGUAGCUAGAUAAGAGAGGAGGAGUGUUUGCGUCGUCGUUGGGAAUUUUUUUUGCGUCGUCGUCUCGUUGUCGGAGCGGCCUAAGACAGAGAGGCGGGGAACGGUCUUAGGCGGCACCGGCGGGGAGCGGCCUGGGGGUGGCGUCAGCGGGGAGCGGCCUGUGGUGCCGUCGGCUCGAAGGGGUCGGAGGAGGACGAGAGGCGGGGAGCGGACUGAAGCGGUGCCGGCGGGGGAGCGUCAUGAGACGGGGAGCGGGCUGAGGCGGCACCGACGGGGAGCGGCCUGGGGAGACGCCAGCGGGCGGCGGCCUGGGACGCCGUCAGCUCGAGGGGUCGGAGGAGGAGGAGCGGCGGGGGAGUAGCCUGAGGCGGUACCGGCGGGGGACGGCCUGAGGCGGUGCGGGCUCGGAGGAGGAGAGAUGGCGCUCGCGCUUUCGGGGUCCGAGGAGGAGAGGUUGGGAGCGGCCCGAGGCGGUGCCGGCGGGGAGCGGCCUGUAGCGGCCUGGGACGGCGUGGGCUCGUAGGUCGGAGGAGAGACGUUCUUGCUGGAGUCCGGCGGCCUGCACGAGUGGUAUCCUGGCGGCCGGCGGUAGAACGGCGACCUGUGUGAGUGGACGUCGGACUUGCUGGUGCAGUGACGUCGUGGCUCCUCAUGUUGGCCUUCGGUUCUAGCCGACUAUACUUUAAGAUGGAGGAAAGUUCUAUGACGGUACUAAAACCACUUGACCUCUAACCAACAAAACCCCGUACACCGUUACCACCUUUCGACGUCUCCUGUGUAGGACUUAACCACAAGGAACGUUACGGGACAAGUCCUCAUCGCCGCGUCUUCUGCUGCUGCACCGUCUCCUACCUAACCUAACAGGGACAGCCGCGCCGCCGUCGACCCAACACACGCGUCGACCGUAGUUCCUCCUUCUUGGCGGCGAGUGCUGGAGCGUGAUGCUGCCGCGUAGAAGAUGAUAGCGUGGCCACCUCAGGAUCUAGACCAGGCGAAGAUUUAAACUCUUUGUACCAACAACGUUUACCGUUGCAACUGUACCUCCUUCCUUGGGAACUUUAACCCUAGCAAGCAUUCGUUUUCAAACCACGACGAAGUAACCUAAAGUUACUCCUACACGUAAAGAUGCAGCCUAACGACAUAAAAAAGAGUUUGGGACAACCUGGACAUAGUAAACACAAUUGUAGUUUCUUCACCAGUCCCCAGACCAGUACCAAAAGGAUAGACAACCACCACUAAGAUCGUGUCUGUUGUUCGCUUGUUGCUGUAGUCCAACAGCCGUCGUCACUGUAGUUGCUUACCUCCCAUGCGGACGCCGUUGAGGCCGCCCUACGAUCUCGAGCACCGCUGCAGAUGCUGCCACACGGACCCGUGGUACGUCCUACCUAGACCGUGGCGCUGGCUCUACUGUUCCGUCUCCUGGUCGACUCCCCCCGAGCUGUUCCGCCGCGACAGUCGGUACGGCCACAAGUCUAAGUUCUGCCCCGGCACUACCCAACAAAGAACUAUUUUAACGUAAAGACGACGAAACUAGACAACUUUUACAGUCAGUUUCGUGUAACGAAUCAUUUUUUUCUAGAACCUUCCCCGCACAGGAUGGACCGUGGCGGCUCGAAGGCGAGUCCGCUGUGCGGUUCCCGUGCGGGGGGAUUGCUAGACCUUCUUCUCCUCCCUCCCUCCUGGCAUCCUGCCGGUUGUUGUUGUCUCUUUCCGGGUCAGCUGAUACUCUUCAGCAGUGGUGGGGAUUACCGCCUAAGUCCGGGGUCCGUCGGCCCAGCCGCCGGACCCCGGGACGGACCCCAGACCGGGUAACGACCCAGGUGGUGACUGGCGGGCAUGGUGCGACGUGCCGGCUUCUCGCGUCACGGCAAGGACCUGCGCGCCCACCUCAUAGAGCAUGUUGGAGUCGAUCGAAGGAGUAGGACCAGCGGCCUCUUGGUGGAGGAGUGGUUCGGGUGGGCGUAGGCUCGAGGUUCGUUUUAUCGGGCGCUGCCUCCGCUACUCUUGCUGCUGCUGCAGAGUGGGACCGCCCUGCGGAGCGCCCACGCGUCACAGCUUCGGGACUCUCGGUAGACGUCCUUCAUGAGGUAGGGGCUGCCGAAGCGGGGCGAGGAGCGGCCGCUGGCCAGCCGCGCGCGCGACGGCGGCUGUCCCAGGCAGACGCACAAGCAGCUGCGCGACCUCCGGCCCUACGCGGACGGGGAGGUGGGGAAGAAGACGCACCACGAGCUGGUGAAGCCCUAGAAGGGCCGGGUCGAGCGGGGGUUGCCGACCGCGCGGGACCGCCCGAAGUAGCACGAGAGGGUGAAGCGACCGCGCGGCGGCAGCGACGGCCACAAGGCCGUGAAGAAGAGCGACCAGCGCAAGGGGGUAUCCGAGAUGAGAGAGGCGCCGUUUCUGCGGUGGCCGCGGCCAAACGAGAAGGCAGGCUGCUUCCGGUUCUUGCGCCCCACCUUCCUCCUCAAGAAGAAGUACAGUAGUAGCAGCCGCGGCACGGGCACGGGACACGUCACCCCCUUCGGUAAGUCCAGGCGGUGCAGACUAGGCAGCGAGUGGCCGGGCCUCUUCCGGCACCGCCGCUCGGACGACGCGCGAGCGCCACCAAGGGGCUAGCUAGAGUGCCACAUAGAGGCGCUGUCGUUGAACCGGCGCCGGUUCUAUUAGCCCCGUGACCGCCGCGUGCGCGGUCGCCUCCUCAGGUGCCACUUCUCGCUCGGCCUGACGCUACGCGGCAGCAGCAGGGCUUUUCUCUUCUUCGCCUUCGCCGGCCUCGUGGUACGUUUGCCGCUCUCGAGUCGCAGCCCUAUAGAGAGAAAGGGCGGCCCGAAGAGGGGCGUAGAGGCCUUCCGUGCCUUGUGGUGGUGCCGGUUUGUGCCCUUCGUUACCGUACCGACGCUGCUGCCCCUGUGCUCGCCGACCUUCCGCCGCUCCGUCGACGACGUCCCGUAGCAGUGCGGCCUCGCCGUCGCGCUCGUGCGCCGCAGGUCCGGCCGGCUGCAGUAGCGGAGCUCGAUGCACAGCGACGAGGUCUGCCGCUUGCUCCACCGCAAGAGCGACCCGAUGCGAGACCUCGAGCUUCUCUCCCACUCCUUGCGGCUGCUCGACGCUCGCCUCGACGCGUUCCGCUUCCGGCUCGAGCGGUUCUGGUUCCGGCGCCGUCGCCCCCGCCGCCGCGCCCUCAGGGCCCCUGGGUCCCGCGCGUCUACU
rnacentral:rRNA from 1 species